UACGUAGGGGGCAAGCGUUGUCCGGAUUACUGGCGUAAAGCGCCUGUAGGCGGCCUGUCAAGUCCGGCCUGAAAGCCCCCCGCUCAACGGGGGAGGGUGGCUGGAAACUGGCAGGCUUGAGGGCGAGAGAGGAGGGUGGAAUUCCUGGUGUGAGCGGUGAAAUGCGUAGAGAUCAGGAGGAACACCCGUGGCGAAGGCGGCCCUCUGGCUCGACCCUGACGCUGAGAGGCGAAAGCGUGGGGAGCGAACGGG
rnacentral:rRNA from 1 species